rnacentral:rRNA from 1 species
UACAGAGGUCUCAAGCGUUGUUCGGAUUCAUUGGGCGUAAAGGGUGUCGUAGGUGGCGCCGCUAAGUCGGGUGUGAAAUUUCGAGGCUUAACUCCGAAACUGCAUUCGAUACUGCGUGCUUGAGGACUGGAGAGGAGACUGGAAUUCAUGGUGUAGCAGUGAAAUGCGUAGAGAUCAUGAGGAAGACCAGUGCGAAGGCGGGUCUCUGGACAGUUCCUGACACUGAGCACGAAGGCCAGGGGAGCAAACGGG